CGCCCCUCAAACACGCCCCCGACCUGGGACCGAGGCUGCAGGAAGUGGUGAGCUGCGGCCUGAGAACUAGAGAUUCCACAUCAAUGAGCCAAUGAGGAUUACUAGUGGGAUCCAAGGCCCGGAAUCAAUCAAGUAUUUCUUGAGUAAUUCUAUCUUCCUCCUUGUGGAAUCCUAAAAAUGGACAGAUACAGUGCCUGUCCAUUAGGAAAUUCUGCUCUAAGUGGGGAGUCUAGCCAGGAAACAAAAAUACUGUAGGGGUUUCAAUCCGAAGGAAUCUAAUGCACGUUCCAGAGGGAAUGGGAGAGCUAAGGCACUGAAUGGGACAGAAAGGAGACGAGAGAGGAAGUAGCAGCAGCAAGAAGCCUGUGCUAUGUCCAGGACGGAGGGACAGAGAAAAGAUGAUGAUGUCAGAGCCCUGAAGCCAAGCCAUGUGACAAGAUCUAGAGUCACAGCGGAGGCUGAGCAGGAGAGGUAGCUCCAUGUUGGGAGGGGCAGCCCAGCAGGAUCUGGGCUCAUGAAUGAGACACAGCUGCUGCCAGGAACACCACCUGUAGCAGGCAGAGAGGGGCAGAAAAACCCUGGACUCGCCCCUCCUCCUGCCUCCAUCUUCUGCCAGUGCCUCCCAUUGGCCAAACCCAUUAAGAAGCUGGAAGAUAAAGAUCUAUCUGGGAUAAGAAGAUUAAGGAGAGGCAAGGUGGCAACUGCAGAGCAGAGCAAUUGAGUCUUUACAGUUGAUGUUUCCUUGGACAGCCAGACAUUCUUCUAAGAUGAGACUUGGUUGUUGAACACGGAAGGACCAGCCAGGCAACUCUGAAGACCUGUUUGUCAGUAUCUGCUAAGGUUCACACCAUUGCCUUAGUCUGUCCAUGGGCUUAGGGACGAUGCUGAGUGACAUCCUACACUUGCUCAGAAAUGAUUUCAACUGUCUGCAGCAGAGGAGGAGUGCCUUACUGGAUUGCUGAAUUUAAGACAAGGAGAGAAAAGAACUGAUGCAUAGAGAGAUAAAUAGUUUGUCCAAAACCAUGCAAGGUAACCAACAAAGAUGUACUGUAUAGCACAAGGAACUAUACUCAAGUAAUAACCUAUAAGAGAAAAGAAUCUGAAAAAAACAUAUAUGUAUGUAUAACUCAAUCACAUUGCUGUAUACCUGAAAUAAAAA
ensembl:lncRNA